rnacentral:lncRNA from 1 species
CGAUGUGGAAAGCUUCAGUAUAAGCUAGGAAGCCUUUCUUCUUCCAGAUACACAGUGUCCUCUAGAAUUCCCUAUCACAAAGCAGGCUGGUCCACUAGCUUUUUGGCAUGGAACAAGGAAGACAGCAAACAUCUAAGGACAAUUAAAUAUGUUUCCCUGCUAUGUGGAUAUUUGUUAGCAAUGACUGAUGUGGAAACUACGUAUGCAGAUUUUAUUGCCUCAGGAAGAACAGGUAGAAGAAAUGCAAUACAUGAUAUCUUGGUUUCCUCUGCAAGUGGCAACAGCAAUGAAUUAGCCUUGAAAUUAGCAGGUCUUGAUAUUAACAAGACAGAAGGUGAAGAUGAUGGACAGAGAAGCUCCACAGAACAAAGUGGCGAAGCCCAGGGAGAAGCAGCCAAGUCUGAAAGCUAACACUCCAUUCUGACGGUCAUCAACACCUGACGAUGUGGCGAAUCUCCUGGCAUUGCUCGGAUGAAUUUGCGGCCAUGGGUGAAACGGAGGAGAAGAAAAUGGCCGUGAUGAAUGGCAAGAAGCCGUUGGUUGCCAUGUCACGAAUGGGGGCAGAGCCUGUGUCUGCACACAGCCUUUCCCCCACCUCUCUCAUUAGCAAUGGUUGAAAUCACCUGGCCUGUGCUUGGAUAUCAUUUUUGUAUGGGUCCUUUCACUUGACCGUUUAAUGAAAUGCUUGUAGAGAGUAGCACUGACCUAGCUGAUGAUUCCUGUAGCAUCUGGCCCCUCAUGAUGUCAGAGGAUUUAAUUGUGUCUAAUUGAAAAGGGUUGGUUGAACCCCAGAGUUUCCAUAUCUCUGGCUGGAGUAUUGGCUCACCAAAAGAACCAUCCAGAGAGCACAGUUAGCAUUAUGUCUCUGUGUGUGAGUGCUGUGUUAUUUACACCGUUUUGUAUCGUACAGUAUACCUGCUCAGCACUGCCCUUUGAUUGCUUAUGUAAAACAAAAUGAAGUACAUUGACUGUGAAUUUUUAUACCACUCAUUUUUUUAAAGGGCUGCCUUUUUAAUUUCCCAUAGUGUUGUGGUGUGCACGGGGCAGAACCUGCUUUUGUAAAACACGACUUUCCUCUUGAUGACUUCUGAGGGUUAUAUCCAACAGACUCACUGAGCCCCCCUUUGCUUUAUUAUACAGGCAUGUGGAAAUAUCCAUUAAUGUGAAUAUUGCCUGAGUUCAGUUUUAGUAUCUACACAGACCAGUGUUCUGUCUGUCAAUAUUGAUUUUAUUUCCAAGUAAGUUCUUUCAGCUAACAACUUCAUUUUUCAUGAUUAAGAAUUUUUAAGAAUUGACAAGGUAGACAAAGAAAGUCAGAUAAUGCAAAGGACUGGAAACAUUGUGUUCUGUGGAUCACUUUGGUCACAUUGAUGGGUACCACUGUUUAACUUGGGAGGACAGCUUGUGAAGGAAGUGUUCUCCUCAAAGCCUGUGGGCACCCGUCUAUAAAGGAAAGUCCUUGGGAUGUGUUCUCCCAUGUCCCCUCUCAGCCCUUUCAUAAUGUUAUUAUGCACUUUUUAAUGUUUGUAAAAUUUUACUAAUAAUUUGUGUGAAUUGCUUUGAGAUAUAAUAAUUAUCACCCAACCACACUUUUACUGACGCUGUUGAUGGACUAUGCUGUGUUUUGACAUCACGAUUCUUGUAUGGGGAAUGUCUGUGGCCUAUGUAACCCCCUCUGGUCAGUAUUAUGAAGCCAACUAUCUUUGGUAAUAAAUAAGGAUCCAGUUAGAUGCCCAGGGUUAAUCUGGGGCAUCUUAUGGGCAAAUAACAGAUGAAAGAAGGCCUUCGCAACAGAAGAGCCCCUAAAUGUCCUAGAGUGCAGGCAUAGCUGCAGUUCCAGGUUAAGUAGGGAGCAGUGAUUCAGCAGGCAGACUAUGGGUGUGGUAGGAACUCAACCUGAGUCUGUAGUCACAGACAAAGUAGACAGGAAGUCUGCCCAUAUCUUCCUAUAGUGCAUUCAUUACUGACUGGGAAUACAUGAAUCUCAUUAGUCUCCAACUGGAAGUUUUCCAGAAAAACAAGCAAUGUAUGUCUUUCUGGAUAUAAAACAGUAAAUACAUUCAAUAUGAGAGGCCUUGCUUUGAUCUAACUCAUUGGAGGCUAGCUAAAAUUGAAACAAAUCUACCUAUUGGUAGAAUCAAAGCUGUGAACCUGUGGCUUAUUUGAGACAACCUCUGAUAAUCUAUUAACAAUAUCCAACAGUUUCAAUGUCCUUGUUGAACUAUCCUGGUACCUUUCUCGUGAAUAGGAAGUUCAUUCUUAAAGUUGUAGAAUUCCAAAUUGGUUUUACGUGCAUUUUGUAAAGUGUUGAACCAGUGCUGAGUCCAUCCCUGUGUGAUAUACUAUUACUAAUGCAUGUGGUGCCAUGCUUGUCUUCAAAUAUAGAAGUAGUGCUAAAUGGGGAAGUCGUAUGGAGCUUCUGAUUUCCUUUGACCUCUUACUACUACUUUGUUUCCUGUAUUCAAUCCCAGAGGGAUUCUCUGGCUGGGAAGGGAAAAAAAAUCAACAUUCUAAAUUUUCCACAUUGCAUAAAUUUUGAUUGGCAACAUAUAUAGACUCUCCUGAUUUUCAUUUAAUACCUGUUAUUUACAAGUAAAUAAUAAUAAUAGGGAAGUGAUCUGUAAAGACAAAUGGAAGAGUAGGUAGCCCGAGCAAAGGGUGUUAUUUAACUAUCCCAACGAAGUCACUUCAGGACACUUUCUUUUCACCUUUUGAAACACACCAUUUAGACUUUAAUCUUGCUCCCCUUUCACACAUUAGGAAGUAAACACAAAUAACAACAAGUUUUUGCAAGAUUAAAAAACUAAUUUGAGCAUAUAUGUAUUUAUCGACAGAAUUGUGAAUCCACAGGUUAUAAAAUUAAAGCUAAUUAUACAGUAUGUUUCUCUGUAUGGAAAACUAGAAAUACACUCAUUCAGCUUGCAUGUUACAGAGAAGGAGAAUAAGUUUCAAAAAUGGACUGGCCUUUCUUGCAUUUGUACACAUGUCUUUGGGGCAAAGACAGAUGUGGCAAAGCCUACUUUUGUGGCUUUCCACUUAAAUAUUCAAUUAUACCUUAUUUUGAGAGUUUACUUCUGGUAUGUAAACUGUAAAUUUACAUGCUAUGUUUAUGCUACAUAUGUGAACAAAUAUUCUUGCUUUUCAUUUAGUUACCUAGAAACACAGAAUUUUUCAUUUUUAACACAUUAACAAUGAAUGAGAAGCUGUUGAAUUUGUUGAGUUUAACUUUUUUUUUAACUGAGAAUAUUUUAUGUCAGUACAUAUUCAUCCUGAGCUCACAGAAAUGCUUUCUGCCCUGUAACAGAAAUCACGAUCUUCAUUUUUCAGGGAAUACUAACAUAGCCCGUCGAUAGCCUACCACUGAGUCUUCCGCACACAUGACAGCAUGGAACCAAUGUAGAUUUUAAAAAUGACAUCUUUAUCCUUCUCAGAGGAAUAAGAAAAAAUGUAACUGUUGGGCAGCAAGCUUCUGAAUGAGACCUGCCGUAGUAAGGGGAAAAGUAUAGUCGUUAAAUUAAACCAAGAAAGGAUCCAUAAUGAUGUCUUAGAGGCCCGGAACUGUUCCUUCAUUGACUAGCGACAGCCUGGGAAGUCAUCUGUGAGCUUCUAUGACUUUUGUAUUUAGCAAUGUUGCAUGCUCCAAUAAUUGAUAUUAAAAGCAACACUUGUUUUCUGAAA